CUAGGAGGGUUCCAGAGGGGGCCAUGGCCCCCUGACAUCAUGCAGUGCCCCCCCAAUUGAAACUGAAGUCACAAGCUGCAGCAGCACUGUUACUGGUGGACUUUUCCCACGUGCAGCCAGAGGGGACGCUGUGCUGGGAGGACUUCUUCCUGGGUCAUAGAGAGCAGCGCAGGGGAGAGACAGGGAGAGGAAGCUCAGCUCUGCACAGAGGCAUCCAGGAAGCUGC